ACAGGCACAGCCUUGUCAUCUCUCCAUCUGCCUCCUCGCCUGGCACCCAUGACUGCAGCAUCUUGCUUUGAGCUGCGCACUUCUUGUAUGGCACAAAACCUCGAAGGUAGGCUGGAACAGUGGAAUAUUUUCUUGAACCUGGAACAGGUAUCACUUCAUCUUCAUUGUUGUUUACUUGUGUAGAUUCUAUAGAAUCUGAAUUCUGAGGAGCUGUUUCAGGCACAUUAUUGGAGGUUGUGAUCGAUUCCGUCCACGAUCCUUCUGCCCUAGUGAACUUGCAGUCUGCAGCUUCAGAUGGUUGGUGCUGUUGCUUAUCUGAGGUAACUGUUUGUGGGUUCAAUACUCUGUAAGAUAUGCUUCCAUUCCCGUAGCUGAGAAAUUGGCAAGCAGAAUGCACGGAGAGAACCUCCCCUUGAGGAAGAUAGUACAUAAGCUGCUGUGUACCGGUCAGCCACGGGCUCCAUGUCUUUGCUUCUUCUGCACCAUGGGAAGAGAACUUCCCAGUUCCACUAGUUGGUGUCUCAGCUGAAGUGUCCAGCUCCAUGUCUGCUACAUGUUGUAGGUCCCCAGUAUUGGAGUUUUGCUGCUGAUGCAAAUUAUUCACCACGACCCUCUUGCCAAAUAGCCUAAGAACUGGACCUUCAGGCAUUCCACAUGCCGCGCCAUCGGAAGUGGUGGCAUCCUGAGAUAUAUUUAAGCUGUUUGUUAGAACACAGGAUUCAGAUGUUACCAAUCAUGCGAUUAGAUGCUUU
rnacentral:lncRNA from 1 species